UACGGGGGGGGCAAGCGUUGUUCGGAAUUACUGGGCGUAAAGGGCUCGUAGGCGGCCAACUAAGUCAGACGUGAAAUCCCUCGGCUUAACCGGGGAACUGCAUCUGAUACUGGAUGGCUUGAGAUUGGGAGAGGGAUGCGGAAUUCCAGGUGUAGCGGUGAAAUGCGUAGAUAUUGGGAGGAACACCAGUGGCGAAGGCGGCUCACUGGACCGGUUCUGACGCUGAGGAGCGAAAGUGUGGGGAGCGAACAGG
rnacentral:rRNA from 1 species